UGGGUUGAGGCUCAGUGGUAGAGCACUUGCCUGGCAUGUGUGAGUCAUUGGGUUCGAUUCUUAACACCACAU
rnacentral:tRNA from 1 species